rnacentral:rRNA from 1 species
GAGUAUGGCCAUACCACCCUGAACACGCGCAAUCUCAUUGGAUCUCAUAACCUAAGCAGAGUCAGACCUGGUUAGUACUUGAAAAAGUAGAAGAAAAUUGGAAAACUUUAUCU